GCCUUAAGGUGUUUGUCAUGUCGAAUUGCAAAUUCGAAGGUGUAGAUAAAAGUAAUCUGCUAAGGCUU
rnacentral:tRNA from 1 species